GACGAACCGUCCUAACGUUGUUCGGAAUCACUGGGCUUAAAGGGCGCGUAGGCGGGCAUGCAAGUCCGGGGUGAAAGCUUUCGGCUUAACCGGAAAAGGGCCUUGGAUACUGCAUGUCUAGAGGGAGGUAGGGGUCUGUGGAACUUCGGGUGGAGCGGUGAAAUGCGUUGAUAUCCGAAGGAACGCCGGUGGCGAAAGCGACGGACUGGACCUCUUCUGACGCUGAGGCGCGAAAGCCAGGGGAGCAAACGGG
rnacentral:rRNA from 1 species